GAGAACGGGAGAUAGUGGGCGCGCUGACUCUUAAUCAGUAGGUUGAAGGUUCGAGUCCUUCCGCGCUCACCA
rnacentral:tRNA from 1 species